rnacentral:misc_RNA from 1 species
GAAUGAAGAACGCAGUGAAAUGCGAUACGUAAUGUGAAUUGCAAAUUCAGUGAAUCAUCGAGUCUUUGAACGCACAUUGCGCCCCCUGGUAUUCCGGGGGGCAUGCCUGUCCGAGCGUCAUUGCUGCCCUCAAGCACGGCUUGUGUGUUGGGCCCCGUCCUCCGAUCCCGGGGGACGGGCCCGAAAGGCAGCGGCGGCACCGCGUCCGGUCCUCGAGCGUAUGGGGCUUUGUCACCCGCUCUGUAGGCCCGGCCGGCGCUUGCCGAUCAACCCAAAUUUUUAUCCAGGUUGACCUCGGAUCAGGUAGGGAUACCCGCUGAACUUAAGCAUAUCAAUAAGCGGAGGA